GAUGCUUAUCCAUAGUCACACAGCUACAGGACCAGGAGGGGAAUUCAAUCUGUUUGACUUCAGAGCCUGGCCCAUUCCUUUUAUGACUUAGGUUCUGAGCCUCCAAAGCACACAAGGGAGCCUUAUACUUUCAAAAGCUCAGUGGGCUUCUCUGCACCGUGAGUGGGAGCCACUUGCCCUGGCUGGCUUCUUCCCAACUUCUAGCCCUUUCUCACCCACUCUUCAUCUUUUUGCUCUUCUUCAGUCCCCAGAUUCUCUUAGCUUUUCUCCUCCGUGUCCUUUUUUAUCCUAACGUGUUUUUUUGAGACAUUUCAAACGCUAACAAGUUGAGGUAUUGGACAGCAAACGCUAACCCUCAGCCACCAGCUCGAUGUCAUCUUUCUGUGCCUGGACUUAGUGUCCCACCUACCUGCCUGUCUCUUCAUCUCUCCCUGUGGCUGUAAGUUUAUCUCAUUAUUUUGUCACAUUUCACAGCAACUUGCAGGUGUAGAUCCACUUCUCCAGGGUUUUUUGUUUGUUUGGCGUUUUUUUGUAUUUUAAAACAAAAGUUUUAAAAAAUAUUGUCCUGGGGUCUCCAUGUUAUUGUUCCCCUCCUCUUCUCACAUCAGCCACAUCCCAGACCUGAGUGAUGCCACCUAUCUGUCCCCUUACGCACUCAAAGUGGUGGGUCUGUGGAGGGGCAGGACCUGUUGCACCAUCUGCAGUUGAAAUUGCCCCUAGUGUCCCCUCUUCACCUUAUGGGCCUCCAACCUCCCGGGGUACGGUGGUUCAAGCCCCAUUCCUGUUCAGUAACCUGCUGUAACUCCCAUUGCUCUUGUUGCUCUGCUCAGCACUGGGAAGGUGUGGAGGUAACGCCCUACUAACAGGUUUCUCAAGAUGAGGACCCUGCAAAGCCACUGGGUGGUUGUAAAAACUCUUGUUCUUGGGCACCAACAUGGAGCGGAAUCUUUAGCAAUGGUCAACAAGAUUCUCACCAGAGCUGAGCUAGAUGCCUGCACCAGCCCUUAAGCCUCCAAAACUGGAUGGCAUCUGUGCUUCAAGUGCUAAUAACUUAACCAAAAGAAGAAGCAGUGAAAGUGAUGGAGAAGAGAUGAGCUGCCCUUGUUCA